UCAGAUUGAACGCUAGCGGGAUGCUUUACACAUGCAAGUCGAACGGCAGCGCGGACUUCGGUCUGGCGGCGAGUGGCGAACGGGUGAGUAAUGUAUCGGAACGUACCCAGUAGCGGGGGAUAACUACGCGAAAGCGUGGCUAAUACCGCAUACGCCCUUUGGGGGAAAGCGGGGGACCUUCGGGCCUCGCACUAUUGGAGCGGCCGAUAUCGGAUUAGCUAGUUGGUGAGGUAAAGGCUCACCAAGGCGACGAUCCGUAGCUGGUUUGAGAGGACGACCAGCCACACUGGGACUGAGACACGGCCCAGACUCCUACGGGAGGCAGCAGUGGGGAAUUUUGGACAAUGGGGGCAACCCUGAUCCAGCCAUCCCGCGUGUGCGAUGAAGGCCUUCGGGUUGUAAAGCACUUUUGGCAGGGAAGAAAAGGUGCCGGUGAAUACCCGGCGCCGCUGACGGUACCUGCAGAAUAAGCACCGGCUAACUACGUGCCAGCAGCCGCGGUAAUACGUAGGGUGCAAGCGUUAAUCGGAAUUACUGGGCGUAAAGCGUGCGCAGGCGGCUCGGAAAGAAAGAUGUGAAAUCCCAGGGCUUAACCUUGGAAUGGCAUUUUUAACUCCCGAGCUAGAGUAUGUCAGAGGGGGGUAGAAUUCCACGUGUAGCAGUGAAAUGCGUAGAGAUGUGGAGGAAUACCGAUGGCGAAGGCAGCCCCC
rnacentral:rRNA from 1 species